CCUUUGGUCAGAAUCAGUCCUUUGGUGAAAGAAAGAACCGCAGGAGUUGAGUUUCGGUUUGGUCCUGCUGAGUUCUGGUUUUUCAGUUGUCCAUCCUCACGGUUUUACACCUCGCCGCCUCCUGCUGUGGCCGGGGGGUGGUUGUGUCCUUCCUGGUGGACCAGGACCCCAUCCUCCACGCGUGGGUGAGCCGGGACCUUGCCUUUCCUUCUCGUCCUUGAGGCUUCAGAACGCACAUUGACACCUCAGGCGUGCCAGCCCCAGCCUCAGGUUGGGGUGCUGAGGUCACCUCGCAAAAGACUUGCACUUUCCUCAGAACCAACGUGACGCAACUCAGCAAGGGGCCGGCGGCCGCUCCUUUCCAGAAGCCCCGGCCUCUGUCCGGACGAGUCUUGCCUGACCUCUUCGGUGCUGACCUUCCCAAAGCGAUGCCUUACUGGUUUUGUACUAACCGUGUUCAUUUACAAGUGUUGUGCCUGCCUGGGGUCCAUGUUUUGUUUUCCCCAUCAGCAAACAGGGCUAAAAAGUCAUCUACCCAUUAGGAGGACUCAAGUUGCUGUGACUUUUCUCAUCCAAAAGACUCAUUUGUGUGGAUGUGUGACCAUGAGAAAAAGAAGGAAAAAAAAAAAAAAAGAAAAGAUGCAUUUUUUUUUUUUUAGGUUCUUCUCAGUCUCCAGCUAACACUCUGACUGGACAAUGAUCUGUCUUGUGCAGGAAAAGGCAAAAGUUCCUACAAGUUCACAUGACACUGCUGAUACAUACCCUGCUAGUAUGCGUCUUCAACAUGCUGGUAUUUUCUUUACAGAGAGUGGUAAAUCUUUAAGUUGUUUGUUUCUGCUUUAUAAAAAGAAUCUUUAUUGGACCCCAGUGAGGGUGUCUCUGUUAAUGAUCAGGGUUUUUAUUCGAUCUUUCCCAUUCCUAUUUCUGAAGGUCCAUCUCUAUACACUUUCAUUUUCUUAUCACAAGAACUUGACCUGAAACUGCUCACAUGAUAUUGGACGACACCAUUAUCUUCCUCCUUAAAGGAAAAGGAGAAUGUGUCCCACUAGCUGGUGAACGGAAAACCUCUCCGUGCCGACCUUGCUUUAUUCACCAUAAACUCAGACUCUCUCGUGCGCAGACUUCAUUAGCCAUCUGGGUGUGUGUGUGUCUUGUUCUGUUGUUGUUGUUUUUUUUUUUCCAUAAAAAUUUGAAACCAUGAAUUUAGCCUGUGACCACGGGCCACACCCUGAGCCUUCUGGUAAACCUGAAGAGUGGUCCUUCUCAAUCUGUUUCCCAACGAUGACCUUACACGCUCAUACUGUGAAUUGGGGAGGAGGUAAGAUGGACUUCUCCUUGGGGGCAGUUUUCCCAGUCACCUUACUUCCCUCCCACUGGGUCCAGGCUCAGAACCAAGAUCUCUGUCCCUGGUGCUGCCUGACUAGUGACUGGUGAUUUCAAGUAGCGUAGCCCUUGUGUGAUUCACAACUCCGUGUCCUUCCUAAAGUUUCGGGAAGCAGGGUUGUCUGAUACGCACAAUUCUUAUUUUGGCCAUAUUUUACUUUAGUGUCACUCACCUUUGACAAAGUGACUUUGUACUCAUUUAGGGCUCUGUCCACAAUGCUUCCAUUUUGCCUUUUUCUACAGUUAGGCUAAUCUUGAAAUGUAUGAAAUUCUAUGCAACAUUUAUGUUGAGUUACCAAUGGAAGCCAAAAGUCUUCUUCCCAAACUGCCAAGAAUUAUACAGGCCAUAAAUGAGAGGGGAAUAUCUUUUAAUUUAAAUUUGGGGGUGGGGUAGGGGUGGGACAAGGAACGAGACUUACCUAGACCUUUGUUGUGUCUUGGGGACAUUUUUUAUUUUACUGUUGAUGCUUCAACUUCAAAAUUCUGUGUAUUCAAAUUUGAUCGUGGCGAAUCUACUUCAAAAGGAAAAAAUAAUCCAACUUUGUGGAUAUUAAAUGGAAGGUUUGCUGUUUUAAUCUAGUUUCCAGUGGAGCAGUUUAUGAAAUAUGUCCUAUAAGAUGUACAUUUUUUCAUUGUAACAUAGAAAUUGUAAAUAAUUGAUUAAAGUGCUGCAUUUUGAUGAAUUUUUUCUAGCCAUUUUUAAAGAGAAAACUAGGAAUUGAGUAUUUUGUGUACGGUAUGUUUCCUUCCUCCUUCCCUCCCUCCCUCCCUAUUUAAUUUUCAUUUGUCAUGAGGUUUUUGGAUUUGCCAAUGAUCUACUGGAGAUCAUGCCCCACGUCAUAGAGAAUAAAGCUGAUGAUUGUACCAGUCUUAAAUUAUUCAUGAUUCAAUAAAAUUGAUGCUUAUUUAUUCAGA